UACGUAGGGUGCAAGCGUUUGUCCGGAAUUAUUGGGCGUAAAAGAGCUUGUAGGCGGUUUGUCGCGUCUGCUGUGAAAUUUCGGGGCUCAACCCCGAACUUGCAGUGGGUACGGGCAGACUAGAGUGUGGUAGGGGAGACUGGAAUUCCUGGUGUAGCGGUGAAAUGCGCAGAUAUCAGGAGGAACACCGAUGGCGAAGGCAGGUCUCUGGGCUGUAACUGACACUGAGAGAGAAAGCUGGG
rnacentral:rRNA from 1 species